rnacentral:rRNA from 1 species
AGUAAUGCAUAGGAAACUGCCCAGUAGUGGGGGAUAGCCCGGGGAAACCCGGAUUAAUACCGCAUACGUCCUUCGGGAGAAAGCAGGGGAUCUUCGGACCUUGCGCUAUUGGAUGUGCCUAUGUCGGAUUAGCUAGUUGGUGGGGUAAAGGCCCACCAAGGCGACGAUCCGUAGCUGGUCUGAGAGGAUGAUCAGCCACAUCGGGACUGAGACACGGCCCGAACUCCUACGGGAGGCAGCAGUGGGGAAUAUUGGACAAUGGGGGCAACCCUGAUCCAGCCAUGCCGCGUGUGUGAAGAAGGCUUUCGGGUUGUAAAGCACUUUCAGUGAGGAGGAAAAGUUAGUCGUUAAUAUCGGCUAGCCUUGACGUUACUCACAGAAGAAGCACCGGCUAACUCCGUGCCAGCAGCCGCGGUAAUACGGAGGGUGCAAGCGUUAAUCGGAAUUACUGGGCGUAAAGCGCGCGUAGGUGGUUUGAUAAGCGAGAUGUGAAAGCCCCGGGCUUAACCUGGGAACGGCAUUUCGAACUGUCAGGCUAGAGUGUGGUAGAGGGUAGUGGAAUUUCCUGUGUAGCGGUGAAAUGCGUAGAUAUAGGAAGGAACACCAGUGGCGAAGGCGGCUACCUGGNACCAACACUGACACUGAGGUGCGAAAGCGUGGGGGAGCAAACAGGAUUAGAUACCCUGGUAGUCCACGCCGUAAACGAUGUCAACUAGCCGUUGGGGAUCUUGAAUCCUUAGUGGCGCAGCUAACGCACUAAGUUGACCGCCUGGGGAGUACGGNCGCAAGGUUAAAACUCAAAUGAAUUGACGGGGGCCCGCACAAGCGG